AACCAGACAACGUCUGUGCUAUUAUGUGGAUGAAGAAAAAGAGGGAACCGGGAUCUGAAUGAUGCAGUGUCGCAAUCCCAUUUUAUAAAUGAGGCAACCAAAACUCGAACAGGACCAUAUUGCGACUGAAACAAGGCAUAACAGGUCUUUGACUGGCUAUCCUGUGGAUGUGGACUCAGGCUAGCCUGCGCAAAGUGAAAGACAGGCAAUUAGAUUGAAAAAUACCUGUGAUUCAAAGAAGUCACAAGUCACAGAGACAAACUUUUCCCAGUGUGUUCGAGUCAGAGAACCUUUGCAAAGACCAACAGGCUAAAAGAGAAAAUACAAUGUCAUGACACAGCUAGAAUAUGUUUCCAAGCCUCCCCAACACGUGUGACUGUGUAUAAUUGAGUUCUAACCACAGGAAGCUUGAUGCAGAUGAGCAGGUAACCAUGGAAGUCGUGAGCUGAGGCUGCAGAGUCUAGAGCCAGAGUGUGGAAUAAACUUGGGUCUCAAAUCACCCCUGGAGCAAAGCACCCAUCUAAUCAGGAACUUCUACUUUCAACUUUACAUGCGUGAGAAAUGAACUUCUAUCAUGUUAGAGAAAUCCUUACACGGCGCCCUUGAGAGCUUUCAUACUGCAAGUCAUCCAUUUUCCUCCCCUCAAACCUGGCAUCGGAGUUUAUUG
rnacentral:lncRNA from 1 species